AAGACCUUGCACUUUUGGAGCGGCCGAUGUCUGAUUAGCUAGUUGGUGGGGUAAUGGCCUACCAAAGCUUCGAUCAGUAGCUGGUCUGAGAGGACGGCCAGCCACACUGGGACUGAGACACGGCCCAGACUCCUACGGGAGGCAGCAGUGGGGAAUUUUGGACAAUGGGCGCAAGCCUGAUCCAGCCAUGCCGCGUGAGUGAAGAAGGCCUUCGGGUUGUAAAGCUCUUUCAGCCGGGAAGAAAAGGUUGCGACUAAUAAUCGCAAUUCAUGACGGUACCGAAAGAAGAAGCACCGGCUAACUACGUGCCAGCAGCCGCGGUAAUACGUAGGGUGCAAGCGUUAAUCGGAAUUACUGGGCGUAAAGCGUGCGCAGGUGGUUUUGUAAGUCAGAUGUGAAAUCCCCGGGCUUAACCUGGGAACU
rnacentral:rRNA from 1 species